CUCGUUCCGUAGCACCGGGGAUGAGUGUUGGAAUGGCAGCGCGCGCCCUCUGUCACUGGCUGCCGCACACAGAGCCCGCGCGCUCCUCCGACAGCUCCAGCACACAGAUCAUUCGACACAUGAUGUUGUUUGUGUGAAAGAAGAACGUGAAGAAAGGAAGGCCGAGCUGGAGAAGACAGAGGCUGAAGUUGAACAGAUGAUCCAGAAGAGACAACUGAAGAUUCAGGAGAUCAAACACUCAGUCAGGAAGAUGGAACAAAUCAGAAUAGGAACAAACUCAUUAGCAUCACAUACAACGCCAUCAGCAAAGCUAUUGCACGCAGAGCACACAGCAUAGCACAUGACCACAGCCAGCUCCUCAACCCAUUCUUCACACUUCUUCCAUCUGCUCGCAGAUGAUCCCAGGCCUGGAAAUGGGCAUGCCAGGAGUUUUGUCCCCUCUGCCCCAGCGUCACUCAACAAAACACCUCGGUAACCUUCAUGUGUGCUGUGUGCUGUAUCUGAUGUCUUUCCUCUAGUUAUGUUGUGGUGUAUAAUCUCACUCUGUACCAAUGUGAAGAAACGGCUUCUCCAGCAAAUCAGAUUAUUUUCUGGAUGGUGCCAAGCGGCGCACAGCAACACAAAUCUGCAGCCAGAGGCAGAUGGUGUUUGAGUGUUUGUUAACAGUUAAUUAAUACAAUGAAAAACA